GUCUGUUCAAAUGCGACUCCCAGACACUACUCUGCCUAGCAGCCACCCCCAAGAUGGGAAUAACAAUCAAGGUUACUUUGGAGAUUGACUCGGACCUGGACAUACAUUGUGAAAUGGAGAUCUUAUUUUCCUGAAGAAAACUACAGUCAAAGCAAUAUAUGGCGAAACCUCGUUCCAGCUAUAUGAAGUUCAAGAAAUGGUAACAUAAUCACUGGGCUAAAGGAAUCUGUCUUGGGUGAUGGAGAUACGAAGAAGAUGUUAUCCACAGGCGAAGCACUACUUUUCAAAUGUUUAAUCAUACAGUACAGCCAAUGGAAGACCUGUGUCAGUACUACUAGUAACAGUAAUGAAG